GGCCCUUGCACAUGUGAGCUAGAGGGGCCUUUGGUGGCCUGCAGGGACUGAAACUGACAUGUGAGAUCUCCAACAAGUGAGGAUUUGAUGAGGACAGUUCAGGAACGAGGUCUUGGUGAAUAAUCUCUGUCUGCACCCCAGUAUUUGGAGUGCAAAAGCUCCAACAGAUAACUACUGUAUCAUGAUUGUACUUGGCUGGAUACUUUUUGUCGGACUUGCAUGUUAUCUGGGGGCAUUUCCUGAAGUAAUGCGUCCAACACUAAAAUGGAUAGAGAGACAGCCUGUCCAGCCUAUUUGUGAGCGCAAACAUCGACUAAGAAGUGUGAUUUUUGAUGAAAAUAAGAACAUACCCAGGUGGAAAUAGGCAGAGAAGAUCCUGGUGAACCAAUGCAACUCUGAAGCUAAACCUGGCCAGCUGUAUGGUUCCUCCUGUUGGUUUCGCAUAAAGCAAUUGCAAUGGGAAGACUAAAAGGAAGUGUGGGGAAUCAAAGAAUGUACACAGAAAGUUCUGUUCAAAGAAAUGAAUAUAAUGAUGACUAAGAACCCUUAAAGGACUCCUCCUGGACCCCCGACCCUCCCAACCCCUUCUAGGACAAUAAAGGUCAAUGGAGAAUGUG